rnacentral:rRNA from 1 species
UACGUAGGGAGCAAGCGUUGUCCGGAAUCAUUGGGCGUAAAGCGCGCGUAGGCGGCCCCGUAAGUCCGCUGUGAAAGUCAAAGGCUCAACCUUUGAAAGCCGGUGGAUACUGUGGGGCUAGAGUCCGGAAGAGGCGAGUGGAAUUCCUGGUGUAGCGGUGGAAUGCGCAGAUAUCAGGAGGAACACCAAUUGCGAAGGCAGCUCGCUGGGACGUUACUGACGCUGAGACGCGAAAGCGUGGGGGAGCAAACAGG